rnacentral:rRNA from 1 species
AGAGCCUGAAUCAGUGUGUGUGUUAGUGGAAGCGUCUGGAAAGGCGCGCGAUACAGGGUGACAGCCCCGUACACAAAAAUGCACAUGCUGUGAGCUCGAUGAGUAGGGCGGGACACGUGGUAUCCUGUCUGAAUAUGGGGGGACCAUCCUCCAAGGCUAAAUACUCCUGACUGACCGAUAGUGAACCAGUACCGUGAGGGAAAGGCGAAAAGAACCCCGGCGAGGGGAGUGAAAAAGAACCUGAAACCGUGUACGUACAAGCAGUGGGAGCACGCUUAGGCGUGUGACUGCGUACCUUUUGUAUAAUGGGUCAGCGACUUAUAUUCUGUAGCAAGGUUAACCGAAUAGGGGAGCCGAAGGGAAACCGAGUCUUAACUGGGCGUUAAGUUGCAGGGUAUAGACCCGAAACCCGGUGAUCUAGCCAUGGGCAGGUUGAAGGUUGGGUAACACUAACUGGAGGACCGAACCGACUAAUGUUGAAAAAUUAGCGGAUGACUUGUGGCUGGGGGUGAAAGGCCAAUCAAACCGGGAGAUAGCUGGUUCUCCCCGAAAGCUAUUUAGGUAGCGCCUCGUGAAUUCAUCUCCGGGGGUAGAGCACUGUUUCGGCAAGGGGGUCAUCCCGACUUACCAACCCGAUGCAAACUGCGAAUACCGGAGAAUGUUAUCACGGGAGACACACGGCGGGUGCUAACGUCCGUCGUGAAGAGGGAAACAACCCAGACCGCCAGCUAAGGUCCCAAAGUCAUGGUUAAGUGGGAAACGAUGUGGGAAGGCCCAGACAGCCAGGAUGUUGGCUUAGAAGCAGCCAUCAUUUAAAGAAAGCGUAAUAGCUCACUGGUCGAGUCGGCCUGCGCGGAAGAUGUAACGGGGCUAAACCAUG